UAGGGAAUUUUCCACAAUGGACGAAAGUCUGAUGGGGCGAUGCCGCGUGAAUGAUGAAGGUCUUCGGAUUGUAAAGUUCUGUUGUAAGGGAAGAAAAAGAAUGAUAGGAAAUGAUCAUUAAUUGACGGUACCUUACCAGAAAGCCACGGCUAACUACGUGCCAGCAGCCGCGGUAAUACGUAGGUGGCAAGCGUUAUCCGGAAUUAUUGGGCGUAAAGGGUGCGCAGGCGGUUCUAUAAGUCUUAAGGUGAAAGUUCGGGGCUCAACCCCGUGACGCCUUGGAAACUGUAGAACUAGAGUACGAGAGAGGGAAACGGAAUUCCAUGUGUAGCGGUGGAAUGCGUAGAUAUAUGGAGGAACACCAGUGGCGAAGGCGGUUUCCUGGAUCGUAACUGACGCU
rnacentral:rRNA from 1 species